rnacentral:rRNA from 1 species
AAGUCGAACGGUUGUAGCAAUACAGCAGUGGCGCACGGGUGAGUAACGCGUGGAUAUCUGCCUUUGGUUCGGAAUAACUCCGGGAAACUGGAAGCUAAUACCGGGAUGGUUCCUGCGGGAUAAAGAUUUAUCGCCAAAAGAUGAGUCCGCGUACGAUUAGCUAGUUGGUGAGGUAAUGGCUCACCAAGGCGACGAUCGUUAGCUGGUCUGAGAGGACGAUCAGCCACACUGGGACUGAGACACGGCCCAGACUCCUACGGAGGCAGCAGUGGGGAAUAUUGGACAAUGGGGCAACCCUGAUCCAGCCAUGCCGCGUGAGUGAUGAAGGCCUUCGGGUUGUAAAGCUCUUUUGGCGGGGACGAUGAUGACGGUACCCGCAGAAUAAGCCCCGGCUAACUUCGUG